UUUCCGUUGGGCGGCAUACAUACAAAUGGCCAGCGUUUAAAUUGGUGAUCUGCGGCCCAUGACUCUAUGCCUCCGAUUUAUGCGAUGACUACGCCUCCAAUCCAUCCUUAGCCAAUCAAGAGAGCACAACGCAGGGAUUUUCGUUUUGGCUAGUGUACACUAGUCACUUGAUUGAUGAUUUUGGCAAUUGUUGAAUGGAAAAUUGCUGCCAGAAGUCCCCUCUGUUGCUGUUCCUAGUUAUUGUUGUGUUGCCUUCUGGACUCAGUGAAAACAAAUCCUGGGCAACAGGUUGUCCAGCGCAUACCCUACCACCCAAACAGUAAUGGGCAUCUUAGGGUUUUCAUCCCUGCUUAAAAUCAGCACCAUGAAGAUGACAACGAUAAAUGCCGCUUCAAAAUUUAUGAAUCCUUUUUAAAAAUCCAUUUUUGUGCAUAUCCUACAAUUAUGGCAUUCCAUGAAAUGACAGUUCUUUUUUGUGUUUAAAAUGUGGAUAUGCUAGGGUUUUAUACUCUGUUUCGACUCUGGAGUUCGAAUUGCCUUUUUUUGAUAGCCCUGAGGUAGCUGUUACUCACAGAAGAACCUGUCAAGUACAGUCUAAUCAGUCUUCUGUAAGUGAAUUUCGUAAUAAACAGUAAACACGUGUCACCUAUAAAUUAGGUGUAAAUAUGCCAUUGCGUCAAAAGCUCAGGCGUUGAGCUAUCAACGCCCGCUACAAAUCACUUACCCAGAUCCGUGGGAGGCUAUUAAGCCAUGUCGUGAACCCCAAAGGAGGUGCUGACCACCAAGUCAACAAUCUCCCCCUCAGCACCAAUUGAGGGUUGCGCACCGAAGGAAAGCUCAACGCCCUCUACAAACGCCAGACUUACCCAGAUCCGUGGGAGGCUAAGUCAACAAUGUCCCCCUCAGCACCGAUUGAGGGUUGCGCACCGAAGGAAUGAAGGAGACCUCACGGAUUCAAACCCGUGACCCAAGUCUCUGAUACCAAUUGUAGGUAUGUUUGUCGUUGCGCCAAAAGCUCAAUCUAUUAACGCCCGCUACAAACGUCAGUCUUGCCCAGAACCACGGGAGGCGGUUAAGCCAUGUCGUGAACCCGAAGAAGGUGCUGACCACCAAGUCAACAAUAUGGACUAUGGACUACUGAAGGAGUGAGCACAAGAGCAGUGAAAGUGUCAGUUAAUUAGCAAGGUUUGAUAUCACUGGUUUAAAAGCAGAGCAUCUUGCCGAGGCAAUAUUUGUGCAAGAAGUGGCAGAGAAGGUCAAGAAAAUCCUAUAUGGUGGCAAAACAGUUUCACGAGUGCAUAUAGUAGGGGGGGGAGGAGAAAGCUUAAGUGGGGCACAACUUAGACAAUGGGGAAGAGAAAGCUUAUGUGGAGCACAACUUAGACAAUGAUUUGUAAUGCAUAAUUUUUCAAUACCCGUGUCAGCUAAUCAUGCAUUAAUAAUGCUUUGUAACUUGCUAGGAAUACAGUGUUCAUCUAACCAAGUAUUUCAUGCAUAUAAAUUGUCAAAAUGUAUAUAAUUUUGCAGUUUUUACAAAAUAACUAGAGUGUGGCAUUCAAUGCACAUUCCGGCACUCAUUUUAGUUAUAAUCUUUGAAACAAUACCUUCAAAUGUAAGUUUAGAACAAUGUACAUAUCAUUUGUGGAAACUUCCAAAGGGAAAUUCAUUAGUUUUAUGAGCUGCCUUGGGCUUUUGAUUAGUAGCUAGCAAAUUUCAAUAGAUGCUCUGACCAGUAUUUGCUUCCAUAACUUUAGGAUAUU